rfam:Flavobacterium aquatile LMG 4008 contig2, whole genome shotgun sequence.
UCCUAGCCCAGAUUGCAACGGAAAUCCUUUUCAUUUUUUCUUUAAAAAUGAAAAGAUUGCAGUGUAAAGCUGGAAAUAGC